AGUGAACGCUGGCGGUAGGCCUAACACAUGCAAGUCGAACGGCAGCACAGGAGAGCUUGCUCUCUGGGUGGCGAGUGGCGGACGGGUGAGGAAUACAUCGGAAUCUACUCUGUCGUGGGGGAUAACGUAGGGAAACUUACGCUAAUACCGCAUACGACCUACGGGUGAAAGCAGGGGAUCUUCGGACCUUGCGCGAUUGAAUGAGCCGAUGGAGGAUUAGCUAGUUGGCGGGGUAAAGGCCCACCAAGGCGACGAUCCGUGGCUGGUCUGAGAGGAUGAUCAGCCACACUGGAACUGAGACACGGUCCAGACUCCUACGGGAGGCAGCAGUGGGGAAUCUUGGACAAUGGGGGAAACCCUGAUCCAGCGAUGCCGCGUGUGUGAAGAAGGCCUUCGGGUUGUAAAGCACUUUAGUUGGGGAAGAAAAGUAAUAAGUAAAUAAUUUAUUGCUCUGACGGUACCCAAAGAAUAAGCACCGGCUAACUCUGUGCCAGCCGCCGCCGUAA
rnacentral:rRNA from 1 species